UGGCAACCCACUCCAGUGUUCUUGCCUGGAGAAUCCCAGGGGUGGCAGAGCCUGGUGGACUGCUGUCUAUGGGGUCGCACAGAGUUGGACAGGACUGAAGCAACUUAGCAGCAGCAGUAGCAGAAUUGAAAAAUCAUAGAAAAUUGGGAAGAUUUUAAAGCACAUCUAUGUCCAAAAGCAUUAUAGGCAUUUUGGUGAACCAGAAAUACAAAGUGAUAAGUGCACUGAACUUGUAAGCCAGAACUUGAGUUCUAGGUCUGGAAGCAAGAAAGACCACCCAGAAAUUUCAAAUCUUAAAGAGUAAGAAGCCACAGUCUGACUUGAACGUUCCUCACUUUUGAUACUAAGAUGCAGCAACAACCAGUGCCUAGGACUGUAACUUAUAUUGAUUAUAGCCAGGUCUUGCCUGAGCCAGAGCCUCCUCCUUUGUGAAACAGAUCUAUGUAGGUUUUCAGUAGCCCCACUCUUACCACAGGACCAGAGCCCUGAGUGUGGACAGGUGGUAGAAGCAAUCAUAAAAGGCAAGAAGAGAGUGGAGAUUGGGAAGGGAGGAAGAGAAGAGCAGGAAGACUCAUAAGAGGAGCCUGCAAACAAAAAUUCUAAAGUACUUGAAGAAAAUGAAAAAUUCUAAGGAAGACAGUCAGCAGUCACUCAAGCUUCAACGUUGCUGUUCUGUGUCUGUUGCCUCAUGGUCACAAGAUGGCUGCCACAGCUCCAAAUAUUUUACCUUCAUACAUCCCAAACAAGGUGGUAAGGGCAGCUCUCAGCCUUUUAUCAGAGAGAAAAAAAAAAAAUAUUUCCCAGGCUCUCCCAUUACUCCCUCCCACUCUAUCCCCAACUUAGUCUUAUUAGAAAAAACAAGGUCAGAGACCUACCCUAAAACUGACUAGCUAAGAUUCCUGAUUCAUUUUUUAUAGCUAUGGGAGGGGGCCCAUUUUCAGGAGCAUGUGAUCAUCUACCUAAAAUAAGUCCCAUAACCUAGAGAAGAUACAAGGGACUUAAGAUUUAGUGCCCACUCUUGAGAGAAGCUCACAGUCUUAUGAAGAACUAAUUGUGUGUUCUUUGAGAAGUGCCAAAUAGAAGUAUAUGUGACAUACUAUCUGGAAGGAAAACGGGGAGAAUUCACACUGAGGAUCCAAGAACUGGGCAAAAGAAGGUUCUUCCUGUUAACUAAGGCAAAAUGAUAACCUGUGGUUUGCCUUCCCCCUCUAGAGAAAAAUCAGAUAUUAUUGAAUAUCAUAAAUGCAAAUUGCCUCAGUACCUGCUACUGUCAUAGAAGACCAAAAUUUUUGAUUUUUGUUAAGACUGUAGAGAUUUAUUUUGACAAACAUUGCUAUAAAUGAAUUUUAAACAAUUAGAAUUACAGAUUUUGUGGAUGGGAUAAUUUAUCAAUAGUAUAUAAUCUGAAAUUUUUAAAAAAUAUGUGUAUGACCAUCCCUGGAUCUCUAAUCUGCGCAUAGGUUUAGAAAGGGAAAAACAAAAAGACUAUGAUUUUCUAGAUUUUAUGUCUAAGAAGUACUUGAUUUGGGAGAGAAAGGAAAAUAAUUUUGUAAAUGAAAUACAUCAUGAGGAUGGUAUUACUACCAUAUAUAGAAUAUUCUCUUGCACUAAACCCUGUGCUAAAUACUGCAUGUAUAUUUUGGUUUUCUCACUGUAACAAUUCUGAAAGAAUAUUGUUUUUCAAGUGAAAAUUUUAGCUCAGAGAUCAACUGGUAGGAGUAAUAGCUAAUAAUAGGAAAAGCUGUAAUUAACUUGGUUCCAAAGCCUAGUUCUUAACUAUGACACUGUAUCUAAAGAUACUUCUUCAAAUUACCUGCUGUAUUAGUUUGAUUUGCUGGCUUCUUUGAAAUGUUCUUUCUGGCUUAAAAUUAAGGUUGAUUUUUGUGGGAAUUUUCUUUCUGUGUAACUUAUCCUUAUAUUUUUUAUACUUCCUUUGCAUUUUUAUUUUGGGAUUUUGCUGUAUUUUGUGACUUUCCUCUAAACAAAUUCCUUUCCCUUCUCUCUAUCCUUGGAAAUAUAUGCCCUCAUGUAUUGGAAAUCAAGGGGGAAGUAAGAUUUAAAUAGAAAAUUUUAUUUUGAACAUAGCCUUUCAAGCAUGUCUUACCAGGUAUACCUAAUCAUAUCUACUUUAAAAUCACCUUUUAAAUGUCACUAGGAAAUAAAAACUAGACAAAAAAUGUUUUGUUGAACAAAUGAUAAAUUGCCUAAAAUAUGUCAGUGUCUGUGCCGGGAGUUAGAGAAAAUGUCUGCCAUUUUGAAAUUUUACAGUAUGAUGAGGAAGAGAUGCACAAUGAACAGGAUUGCAGGAUGCAGUCACUGUAGCAGAGACCGCUCUUUGCCACUAGCACAUUCUCUUAGCCAUCUGCACAAAAGACAUUUACCAGCUUCCCUCAUAGCUAAGUGGAGCCACUUACCAAGUACUCAGCCAAAAA